UCCUGGCUCAGAUUGAACGCUGGCGGCAUGCCUUACACAUGCAAGUCGAACGGUAACGGGCCUUCGGGUGCCGACGAGUGGCGAACGGGUGAGUAAUGCAUCGGAACGUACCUUUCAGUGGGGAUAACGUAGCGAAAGUUACGCUAAUACCGCAUAUUCUGUGCGCAGGAAAAGCAGGGGAUCGCAAGACCUUGCGCUGAUUGAGCGGCCGAUGUCAGAUUAGCUAGUUGGUGAGGUAAAGGCUCACCAAGGCGACGAUCUGUAGCGGGUCUGAGAGGAUGAUCCGCCACACUGGAACUGAGACACGGUCCAGACUCCUACGGGAGGCAGCAGUGGGGAAUUUUGGACAAUGGGGGCAACCCUGAUCCAGCCAUGCCGCGUGAGUGAAGAAGGCCUUCGGGUUGUAAAGCUCUUUCGGCCGGGAAGAAAUCGCAUGGGCUAAUACCCUGUGCGGAUGACGGUACCGGCAUAAGAAGCACCGGCUAACUACGUG
rnacentral:rRNA from 1 species